AUGGCCGAGGCCGGAGGAUUGGCAAAAACAAUGGUUCAGUCAAUGACUUUGCUUGAAAAUCAACUCAUUGAGAAACUUUGGGUACUUAAAGUUCUGCAACAUCUCUCAACUUCUGAAGUUAAUUGUACUUUAAUGGUGAAAGCACAAGCAGCCAGCAAAAUCUGUGCUGACCUCAAUGACCCAGAUCCCUCUGGACAGCUUCUGUUUCGUUCAACAGAAAUACUUUGGAACUUAUUGGAAAAGUCUCCCAAAGAGGAAAUCAUACAACAGCUUAGUACCUUGGAAUGUUUAGUGACUCUGAAGGAAGUUUUUAAAAAUCUGUUUAUGAGAGGUUUUAGUCAUUACGAUCGCCAGCUUAGAAAUGAUAUAUUAGUGAUCACUACAAUUAUAGCUCAAAACCUGGAAGCACCGAUGAUUGAAUGUGGCUUUACCAGAGAUUUGAUCCUAUUUGCAACUUUUAAUGAAGUUAAGAGUCAAAACCCUUUGGUAAAAGGUCUUAAGCUUUCUAAUUCCUAUGAAGAUUUUGAGUUGAAGAAAUUGCUAUUCAAUAUAAUUGUGAUCUUAUGUAAAGAUUUGCCUACUCUACAGCUAUUAAUUGAUGGCAAAGUUGUUUUGGCUUUACUUACCUAUAUUAAAAAGCCUGAGAAACACAAAGUAAUGGAAUGGUCUGCCGCACAGUACGAAGAAUUACAACUGCAUGCAAUUGCGACUUUGUCGUCAGUUGCUCCCUUGUUAAUAGAAGAGUACCUGUCAUGCCAGGGAAACGCUCGAGUCCUGGCAUUUCUAGAAUGGUGUGAGAGUGAAGGAAUCUUUAAAAAUAUUAUAAGCCAUCCUAAUGAAAAAGAAGAGGCCAUUGUUUUAGAAAUCCAGUCUGAUAUAUUACUUAUCUUAUCUGGUCUUUGUGAACAUCAUAUUCAAAGGAAGGAAAUUUUGGGAACUGAAGGAAUAGAUAUAAUUCUUCGUGUAAUGAAAACAGAUCCCAAGAAGUUACAGAGUGACUUAGGCUACAAUGUACUUCUUUUUAGUACACUGGACAGCAUUUGGUGCUGCAUUUUGGGGUGUUAUCCCUUAGAAGAUUACUUUCUUGAAAAAGAAGGCAUUUUUCUCCUGUUGGAUGUUUUGGCUUUAAACCAAAAAAAAUUCUGCAAUCUAAUACUUGGAAUAAUGGUUGAAUUUUGUGAUAAUCCCAAAACUGCGGCUCAUGUCAAUGCUUGGCGAGGGAAGAAGAAUCAGACAGCUGCUAGUCUUUUAAUUAAAUUGUGGAGAAAAGAAGAAAAAGAACUAGGAGUAAAGCGUGAUAAAUAUGGGAAGAUCAUUGAUACAAAGAAACCUCUAUUGACUGGUUUUCAAGAAGAGCAAAAAGUCAUGCCUCUGCCCGCUAACUGCCCGUCAAUUGCAGUCAUGGAUGUUGCUGAGAAUAUCAGAGCAAAAAUAUAUGCUGUGCUGGGCAAACUAGAUUUUGAAAAUUUACCUGGCCUAUCUGCUGAAGAUUUUGUCACCCUCUGUAUCAUACAUAGAUAUCUUGAUUUUAAAAUUGGUGAAAUAUGGAAUGAAAUAUAUGAAGAAAUAAAACUGGAAAACUUCAGACCAGUCACUUCAGAUAAAAGAAUUUUGGAAACUAUCACAAUAGCAUCAGAAAAUAUUGGCAAGAUGGUUGCUUCUCUACAAAGUGAGAUGAUUGAAAGCCAAGCACGCCAAGAUGUGCAAAAUGAACAAAAAGUAUACACAAAAAUACAAACAACACAUAAGCAAAGAGAAUUGGCUAAUAAAUCAUGGGAAAAUUUCUUGGCUAGAACAUCAAAUACUAAAACAUUAAAGAAAGCAAAAAGGCUGCAAGAAAAGGCUAUAGAAUCCUCUAAGUACAAUGAGCGACCACAAAAUGCAAUACUUCACCCAACGGUUAUUAAAGGCCUUAACACAACGAUUCCCUCUGGUCGAGUAGUAACAGUGGAAAGCACUCCUGUCAGAUUGCUGGGAGGACCUCUGGCUGACACAGACAUUGCUCUUAAAAAGCUGCCUAUUCGAGGAGGAGCCUUGCAGAGAGUGAAAGCAGUUACAACUGUGAAUGAGGCAAAAAAGAGUUUUCCUAUUUAGCACACUUUAGAGACUUUUUGAAAUAAAUCCUUCUUAUAAUUUUUUAGGUAAAUGUAUCUUUAUAUACAAAUGUAAAGCAGACAUUUUAGAAUAAAUAUUUUAGUAAAAUGCCAUAAAAAAUAAAAAGGACACAGGAUUUAUUUUUUGGAAAAGAUCAACACAUAAUAUCAAAAACAUCAUCAAUUUCUUUGGAAAGACUGCAAAUUCUCUUAACUGAAAUUAUGAAUCUGGUGGAUAAAUUAGGACUCUUGCAUUUGAACUACUCCAGGUACUUUAGCCAAAAAAAAAAAAAAUUAGAGGUUCUGUAUCUGUCAGAUCUAGGAAUAUUUUAGACCCUUGACUGCCCGCUCCUGAGUGACUGAUCAUGACUUUGGCCAGAUCUGUGCACUGCCUGUUGGAGCCAGAAGCAGGCCAACACCACCCAGUACAUUUAUUUGGGCGUAGUGGGGAAUGAAGGUACUGAUCUCAGAAGUAUAAACUAACACUAGGCAGCAAUAAAUAUUCUGUUCACGGUCAAAUAACAUGUAUCUGCUGGAAAAGGCAAAUGUUAAUCAUGAACUAAACAAUAAAAAUACAAAUAUAGAUGGCUUUACUCUUAUAAGUAAAAAAAACAAAGUCUAUUGCUACUACUCUUCUUUAAUGGAGACAGAAAGUUGGAUUUGUGGUGGAGAUAUUUUCUUCAGUUGGUGGUAGAGGUAUUUUGUGAAAAAAUGGGAGGUAGGAGGAAUAAUGCUGCAUACAGAGCCAAGUGUCCAUGUCAUCAGGUGCCAUUACACAGUUUCCAUCCCCUGCCUUAAGCCCUGAAACUGCUCCUCGAACCAGGAAUUCACAAAGUUAAGUUCAUAUCCAGGGCUGGGAGAGAGAAAUACCUGUUUCUUAGAAAACUGUGUUGAAAUUUGAGUCUAGAAGCUAGGCAAGGUACUAGUAAAUGUAUAUCAGCUGGCUCUCCAGGCAGGGAAAGCCCUGAUAAACUGCUCAGUGUAAAUGCUCUAUGACCAAGUUCAAGUGACCAGCAUGAUGCCACUGAAUGAAGAGUUGGAAAGAGAUCCAAGUGUCCUCCUUUCAUUACCACAGCCUCCACUGGCCUCCUAGACCCACCUUUUCCUACCAAGUUUCUCCUCUUUCCCCAUCCUCCUUUCCCACUAUACAUUCCUUUAUGGAUUCUCUAUUAUCCUAUCUGUGAGGACAGUAACAUCGUCAGUGGAGGGAGAAGUUGUGGCUGUUGUUAGUCCCCUAAGAAUGAGUUAGUUGCCAGUUUGCUGGUGGUGCCUCACCCUCAGCCAGAUGUCCAGUCCCCUUGCAGCCCCCAGUGGCAAAUGAUAUAAAUCAGCUUAUGACUGGGUUUUAUCACUAGAAUCCUUUUCUCUAUUACCACCACCCCUGAAAAGAUACAGGAACACACAAUUUGUUCCUUUUUUUUUACAGAAAGCCCUAACCAUAUAAAGAUUUCAUGCAAAGGAGAGUUACUGAGAUACAAGAAUGGAAGUUGAUAUGGCAUGUAUGAUGAGAUCCCCACACAGAAAGCCCCAGGCACACCUCUGGCUUACCUCAGAUACAUCCAGAAUCUAUAUGAAAAUUGCCCCAUUUUUUUGUUUGUUUGUUUGUUUGGGGUUUUUUUGGGUUUGUUUUUUUUUUGGUACCGGGAUCGAACUCAGGUACUUGCACUUGUGCAGCAGGCAGUGAAAGCACUGAGCUAAAUCCCCAGCCAAGACUGCCCCAUUUUGUAGACUCUUAAGUUUCCCAAGGACAGCUGGAGACUCAUUCUUUUUUUUUUAAUAACUUUAUUAUCAAACACACACACACACAUACAAAAAUUAAAACCAAAGAACAAUGCAAGGGAAAAAAUUAUAAUCAUAUUCAAAUACAGUAGAAAAAACAAACAAAACAAACUGAAAAGCACUUAAACAUUUUUUCAUAUAACUUAAAAAAGCAUCUCAAGCACCAACAAGACACCAAAGGAUGUGAUUUAAAGAUCCCCAAAAC
rnacentral:lncRNA from 1 species